AAUUCUAUUCCAGUGCUAGUACAUGACACAGAAGUUUCAACAAAAAGUAUAAUGCUUAAAAAGAAACAAAAAACAAAUAAUUAUUUCCUUAAGAAGUUACAAGGAAUGAAAGAUGAUUGUUGUGUCUUGUCAUUGAAAUCAGAUAUUGUAAGAAAAAUGUGUAUGGAGCAAAGAGAAUUAUUAAUGAAGAUUGAUGAUUUGGAUUUUUAU